rnacentral:rRNA from 1 species
GGAGGGGGCAAGCGUUGUCCGGAAUCACUGGGCGUAAAGCGCGCGUAGGUGGCGCGGUGCGUCGGUGCUGAAAGCGCCGGGCUUAACCCGGCGAGGUGUGCCGAUACGACCGGGCUCGAGGCCAGCAGAGGGUGGCGGAAUUCCGGGUGUAGUGGUGAAAUGCGUAGAGAUCCGGAGGAACGCCGGUGGCGCAAGCGGCCACCUGGGCUGGACCUGACACUGAGGUGCGAUAGCGUGGGGAGCGAACCGGAUUAGAUACCCGGGUAGUCCACGCCGUAAACGAUGCCGGCUCGGUGGCUGGGGGCCGUUUAGGUCCCUGGGUGCCUAAGCUCACGCGGUAAGCCGGCCGCCUGGGGAGUACGAGCGCAAGCUUAAA